AACGUAGGAGGCGAGCGUUAUCCGGAUUUACUGGGCGUAAAGCGCAUGCAGGUGGUUUGGUAAGUUGGAUGUGAAAGCUCCUGGCUUAACUGGGAGAGGUCGUUCAAUACUACCAAACUUGAGGAUGGGAGAGGGAGGUGGAAUUCCGGGUGUAGUGGUGAAAUGCGUAGAUAUCCGGAGGAACACCAGUGGCGAAAGCGGCCUCCUGGCCCAUUUCUGACACUCAGAUGCGAAAGCUAGGGGAGCGAACGGGAUUAGAGACCCCGGUAGUCCUAGCUGUAAACGAUGUGAACUUGGCGUCGGUGGGUUCAAAUCCGUCGGUGCCGAAGCUAACGCGAUAAGUUCACCGCCUGGGGACUACGGCCGCAAGGUUA
rnacentral:rRNA from 1 species